GCUGGUCCUCAUUUAGCUCAUUUGACCUCUCCAGUGGUGCCUCAUGAACAGUCUCUCAUGGGUAAUUCUUGUGCAAAGCUGUAGGUGCUCUCCGCACCCAGAGAGGGCAGGGGCUUCCUCGUGUAUAAUUACACAAUAAGCCUGAGCAAUGGGUUGCCGGUCUUUCUGAAGGAUUGUGUGCAAGUGUGUGGUUUAUACAAUGUCUGAGAAAACAUAAGACUGAGUUGAUGCCAUUUAGUAAUGCCUUUUUCUCCUCUAGAAAAUACUUGGCUCUGAAGAGAGGCACGGAGGAAAUUGCUGAUAGAUUUGCACCAAAGAGAGCAGCGCUUGCUGGAGAAAUUGCUGUCUAACAUCCUUUGUGGACUUCCGACCAAAACCAUCCAGUGCAACAUAUGCUAACAUUAGAUGUGCCUGGUGAUGGUGUCCCAGCGUCUACUCCUACUGCAGGGCAGGAGCAGGGAUCCCUCAGUCCUUAGAGCGCUCCAGGUAUCCUGCUUGAUGGCUCAUUUAAGACCAAGAUUUCCUUUGUGGGCCAGGAGUAAAAUCCGAAUUUCCCUCCAAUACAGAGGACAUUCAGAAGGGGAAGCUGACCAGAACCCAGACUCAUCUGGCUACCAUGGGCAUCUCCCACUGCAUCAUUCAGGACCUGAGGCUACUGUUGCACUUCAUUUUCCCCGGAUUCAGGAGCCACAAGAUGUGAAGCACGUGUAGAUCAUUCUCCGUUUCUUCACACACAACAGAAUCACAUGGAAGGUAUGUAGAUCCACCAGUUUGCAGCUUAAUGUUGAAUUUCAUAUUGAUUAAGGCCUGAAACAAUUACCUGUGUUUGAUAUAAUACUU
rnacentral:lncRNA from 1 species